rnacentral:rRNA from 1 species
GAUGAACGCUGGCGGCGUGCCUAAUACAUGCAAGUCGAGCGAACAGAUAAGGAGCUUGCUCCUUUGACGUUAGCGGCGGACGGGUGAGUAACACGUGGGUAACCUACCUAUAAGACUGGAGUAACUCCGGGAAACCGGGGCUAAUGCCGGAUAACAUUUAGAACCGCAUGGUUCUAAAUUGAAAGAUGGUUUUGCUAUCACUUAUAGAUGGACCCGCGCCGUAUUAGCUAGUUGGUAAGGUAACGGCUUACCAAGGCAACGAUACGUAGCCGACCUGAGAGGGGGAUCGGCCACACUGGAACUGAGACACGGUCCAGACUCCGACGGGAGGAAGAAGUAGGGAAUCUUCCGCAAUGGGCGAAAGCCUGACGGAGCAACGCCGCGUGAGUGAUGAAGGUCUUCGGAUCGUAAAACUCUGUUAUUAGGGAAGAACAAAUGUGUAAGUAACUGUGCACGUCUUGACGGUACCUAAUCAGAAAGCCACGGCUAACUACGUG